AAAGUGAUAAAAUCAUAAAGUAAAAACACAAAAUACAGAAAAAAAAUCUCUGGACCUUUGCGAGUUAGUUUCAGACUGAAUUAGAGCAGCUAAUUAUACAAAAAACAGUAAAAUGGCUGGCAUAGCUGAAAAGUUCACCUCGUUAAUGGCACGACCAAACGAAGAUCCCAACGAUGCGGCGGCUCCGUGGUACAUCAAAUACGGCGCCCGCGUUAUCGGAAUUAUUGGAGCAUUCUUCUGUAUUUUGUUUGGGCUGUACAACUGUAUUAGUAUAUUGUUCGCCAAUGUCAGUUGCCUCGUCUCCGGCAUCCUGCAAAUUAUUCUAGGGUUUUUGGUGAUGGGUGUCGAGGCACCGUUCUGCUGCAUGUUUAUUGACUACGUGCAAGUGGUGUCGAGCAAAGUUGAUUCGCGACCUUUGUGGAAUCGUGCUGCGGCGUAUUGCGCUCUCGCCUGCGUUCCCGUCUUCAUCUGUCCCGGCUUGGCAAGUAUAUUCGCUUGUGGUCUCGUUUUCGGAUGCGGUGUUCUCUAUGGCAUGAUUGGACUUGGAAAGAAGGGAUCACGUGCUGAUAUGGCUGCCGUUGCCUCACCAAAUGCUAUGUCACCAACUGGAGGAAUGCAACCCUCAACAGAUCAGCAUUCCACUUUAAUGGAAGAUCCGGAUGUCUGGCGUCCUUAAGUUAAUUAAUCGUCUAAAUAAAAUUCACUCACACAUUCCUACACAUACCAAACAAAACGAUUAAACCAUAAAGCAACAUCCACCUUCAUAUCAAGAAAAAACGACAUUCCUAGAAGUAUUUAAGAAUCUCAUUCCAACGCAUUGCCAGAAAAAAAUUAAGAUUCCAAUUAAAAAUUGAUUUUAGCGUUUAAAAAAAGGCACAUUUAGGUGAAAGACAAUUAUUUACUUACAACGAUCAAUCAUUUACUUGGAGACUUUUCGGAUCUUCGACAUCAUGCGAACGCGAAAGAACAAAGGGCAUCACGUGAGGAAAUGGCUCAACGUGCGAAUACGCAACAACAAGCCCCGAACGGAGCUCCCGGAUUCGACAGCAACGUGUAGUUUCGUCAUGGGCUCCGGAUAAUUCUUGACCAGUUAUAAUUUUUCACCUCUUUGUAAUUUACUAUUAGUUAAUUUUAAGAGACAUGAAAUGGAAAAGUGAUCUAUAAUACAUUCAAAAUUCUUUAAAUAUAUAUUUUUUUCAAGA